rnacentral:rRNA from 1 species
UUAAGCUACUAAGAGCGUAGGGUGAAUGCCUUGGCACCAAGAGCCGAUGAAGGACGUGAUAAGCUGCGAAAAGCUAUGGGUAGGAGCAAAUAUCCGAUAAUCCAUAGAUCUCCGAAUGAGGGAACUCAACUGGUAGAAAAAGACCAGUUAUCCAUACAUAAGUAAAGUAGUGUAUGUGAAGGGAACGUGGGGAACUGAAACAUCUCAGUACCCACAGGAAAAGAAAGAAAAAUCGAUUCCUUGAGUAGUGGCGAGCGAAAGAGGAAGAGCCUAAACCUAUCGUAGUAAUAUGGUAGGGGUUUGGACUACAUAAUUGAUUCAACGAAGUUAGCAGAAUUACUUGGAAAAGUAGACCAUAGAUAGUGAAAGUCUAGUAUGCGAAAAUGGAGUUGACAUGGUAGUAUCCAGAGUAGUGCGAGACACGUGGAAUCUCGUAUGAAUGAGCGGGGACCAUCCCGUAAGGCUAAAUACUACUUGGUGACCGAUAGUGAAGCAGUACCGUGAGGGAAAGGUGAAAAGGACCCCGGGAGGGGAGUGAAAGAGAACCUGAAACCCUAUGUUUACAAGCAGAUAAAGUUCGUUAAAGAACGAUAUCGUACUUUUUGUAGAACGGUCCGGCGAGUUAUUGUAUAUGGCGAGGUUAAGUAUUAAGUAAGAUACGAAGCCGAAGAGAAAUCGAGUCUGAAUAGGGCGUAUAAGUCAUAUAUAAUAGACCCGAAACCGAGUGACCUAUCCAUGGUCAGGGUGAAGCUAGAGUAAAAUCUAGUGGAGGCCCGAACUGAUUGUCGUUAAAAAGGCACCGGAUGAACUGUGGAUAGCGGAGAAAUUCCAAUCGAACUCGGAGAUAGCUGGUUCUCCUCGAAAUAGCUUUAGGGCUAGCCUUGAUGAAAGAAUAGUGGAGGUAGAGCACUGAAGGAGCUAGGGGCCUAACCAGGUUACUGAACUCUAUCAAACUCCGAAUGCCAUUAUUUAGUAGUCAGGAGUCAGACUGCGGGAGCUAAGUUCCGUGGUCAAAAGGGAAAGAGCCCAGAUCGUCAAUUAAGGUCCCAAAGAUAUAGUUAAGUGGAAAACGAUGUGAUUUUGCGUAAACAACCAGGAUGUUGGCUUAGAAGCAGCCAUACAUUUAAAGAGUGCGUAAUAGCUCACUGGUCGAGUGAAGUUGCGCGGAAAAUUACCGGGGCUAAACUAUACACCGAAAUUGCGGAUUUAUACGAUAGUAUAAGUGGUAGAGGAGCAUUCUAUAGUAGGACGAAGCAUGACUGAAAAGACAUGUGGACGAGAUAGAAGAGAGAAUGCCGGAAUAAGUAGCGAAAGCAUGGUGAGAAUCCAUGCCAUCGAAAGUCUAAGGUUUCCUGGGGAAGGUUCGUCCGCCCAGGGUAAGUCGGGACCUAAGGAGAGGCCGAAAGGCGUAUCUGAUGGACAGCAGGUAGAAAUUCCUGCACCACCGAUAUACUUAAAAAAUGCAAGGGACACAGUAGUGGAAGGAAAGCGAGGAAGAGGAAAGACUCGUAUCGAAAGAUAUAGUGAAAAAAUAAGUAACGAAUUUCCAAGAAGCACACUGGCGAGAAAAGCUUGUAGGAAUUGUAUAAAGGUGCCCGUACCGCAAACCGACACAGGUAGAUGAGGAGAGGAUCCUAAGAUGAGCGAGAGAAGCAUUGUUAAGGAACUCGGCAAAUUGACCCCGUAACUUAGGGAGAAGGGGUGCCAAAGUAAAAUUUGGUCGCAGAGAAGAGGCCCAAGCAACUGUUUAACAAAAACACAGGUUUCUGCUAAAUCGAAAGAUGAAGUAUAGGAGCUGACGCCUGCCCAGUGCUGGAAGGUCAAGGGGAAAGGUUAUCCGAAAGGAGAAGCUUUGAACCAAAGCCCCAGUGAACGGCGGCCGUAACUAUAACGGUCCUAAGGUAGCGAAAUUCCUUGUCAGGUAAGUUCUGACCCGC